UACGAAGGGUGCAAGCGUUACUCGGAAUUACUGGGCGUAAAGCGUGCGUAGGUGGUUCGUUAAGUCUGAUGUGAAAGCCCUGGGCUCAACCUGGGAAUGGCAUUGGAUACUGGCGACCUAGAGUGCGGUAGAGGGGUGUGGAAUUCCCGGUGUAGCAGUGAAAUGCGUAGAUAUCUGGAGGAACACCGGUGGCGAAGGCGGCAUUCUGGACUGUAACUGACACUGAUGAACGAAAGCCAGGGGAGCAAACGGG
rnacentral:rRNA from 1 species